rnacentral:rRNA from 1 species
GGGCUACGCGAGAGUAGGGCUUUGCCUGCUAUCUCUUACCCAUGUCUUUUGAGUACUUACGUUUCCUCGGCGGGUCCGCCCGCCGAUUGGACAAUUUAAACCAUUUGCAGUUGCAAUCAGCGUCUGAAAAACUUUAAUAGUUACAACUUUCAACAACGGAUCUCUUGGUUCUGGCAUCGAUGAAGAACGCAGCGAAAUGCGAUAAGUAGUGUGAAUUGCAGAAUUCAGUGAAUCAUCGAAUCUUUGAACGCACAUUGCGCCCCUUGGUAUUCCAUGGGGCAUGCCUGUUCGAGCGUCAUUUGUACCUUCAAGCUUUGCUUGGUGUUGGGUGUUUGUCUCGCCUCUGCGUGUAGACUCGCCUUAAAACAAUUGGCAGCCGGCGUAUUGAUUUCGGAGCGCAGUACAUCUCGCGCUUUGCACUCAUAACGACGACGUCCAAAAGUACAUUUUUACACUCUUGACCUCGGAUCAGGUAGGGAUACCCGCUGAACUUAAGCAUAUCAUAGCCCAGAUGGUUCUUUCCCAAAGGUUGUAAGCUUUACUGCUGUCUCUAACAGGUUCUUUGGGUCCUUCUCAUUCCCAGGGUUUCCCCCAUGGAAAAAUUAAACAUAUGGAAUUGCAUUACUCUGAAAAAUUUAAUAGUUCAAUUUUCCACGGAUCUUGGGUUCUGGCACAAAAAAAAGACAAAGGCAUAAUUAGGGGGGAUUGCAUAUUAAAGAAUCUCAAUCUUGAACCUUGCGGGGUUUCUGGGGCAGGCGCUCCAGCUCUUGUUCUUCAUCUUUGUGGGGGGAGUGGGGUGGUUGGUCUCCCCGCGGGACACCACCUAAAAAAAUAGCAACGCGUAAUGAUUUUGGCAGGAAUAAACUGCGCUUUGGCUUUAAUCGCCCACCUAAAAGAU